rnacentral:rRNA from 1 species
GACGAACGCUGGCGGCGUGCUUAACACAUGCAAGUCGAACGGAAAGGCCCUGCUUUUGUGGGGUGCUCGAGUGGCGAACGGGUGAGUAACACGUGAGUAACCUGCCCUUGACUUUGGGUUAACUUCAGGAAACUGGGGCUAAUACCGGAUAGGAGCUCUUGCUGCAUGGUGGGGGUUGGAAAGUUUCGGCGGUUGGGGAUGGACUCGCGGCUUAUCAGCUUGUUGGUGGGGUAGUGGCUUACCAAGGCUUUGACGGGUAGCCGGCCUGAGAGGGUGACCGGCCACACUGGGACUGAGAUACGGCCCAGACUCGUACGGGAGGCAGCAGUGGGGAAUAGUGCACAAUGGGAGGAAGCCUGAUGCAGCAACGCCGCGUGCGGGAUGACGGCCUUCGGGUUGUAAACCGCUUUCGCCUGUGACGAAGCGUGAGUGACGGUAAUGGGUAAAGAAGCACCGGCUAACUACGUG